UACGUAGGGCGCAAGCGUUAUCCGGAAUUAUUGGGCGUAAAGAGCUCGUAGGUGGUUUGUCGCGUUGUUCGUGAAAACUCACAGCUCAACUGUGGGCGUGCGGGCGAUACGGGCAGACUGGAGUACUGCAGGGGAGACUGGAAUUCCUGGUGUAGCGGUGGAAUGCGCAGAUAUCAGGAGGAACACCGGUGGCGAAGGCGGGAUCCUGGGCCAGUACUGACGCUGAGGAGCGAAAGCGUGGGGAGCAAACAGG
rnacentral:rRNA from 1 species